CUAGUGUUGGAGCCGAGGAAGCCAACUCUGAAACAUUUGGACCUUUGUUGUCUGACAUUGCUUUUGCCACUCCUUCUUCCUUCCUCCCACCUUUGCCUUCCCCACCACCUCCUCCAAACUCCCCUGCCUUCUAUCUCUGGCCCCACUGAUGACCCCUCCAUGUGAGUCGUAGGCUUUUACUACCCAUGAUUUCUUUUCUCCAAGCAAAAGAGAGAAGAGUUUAUUUCAUUCUCAGCAGCAUCCCUGGCCAGCCUCGUCAAAGGCUGUCAAAUAAACACAUUGCUAGGAGGAUCACCUCAACCUGUAGGAACUUCCUUCCUGCCAAGAAGCUGGUUCAUUCAUCACCAAGCAUCAUCAUCAUGGAAUUCUCACCCUGCUGGAGGUUCGAGCCAAGACAUAGAAAGAGGACAUUACCUGGGGCAGGAAUCAAUUGCCUAUCACUGGGGAUGCCUGCAGAUCAUUGUCCAGAGUGGCUGCUGUUCACUGAGUGUUUCCUCUGUGCCGGGCACCUUGCACACCUUAUUUUCAGUCUCCGCAGCUGCCUUGUUGAGGUUGGCUCUCUAUGCUUCUGUUUCACAGUUGGGGAAACUGAGGUUCAGAGAUGUGAAUGAAUUUUCUCAAAGUAACGUUAAGUAUUGUGUUACUUAUGGAAACACCUUUAUUCCACCCUGUAAUCUACUGGAAGCUUCCAUGUCUCAACCACGUGCCAGAAGGUCAUAAAGAAAAGAAAAUGGAAACUUGAAAAUGGGCAGAACAAAUGCUCCUGUUCCCUAAAUAUAUUGCUGGUAUCUAGCGCUGUGUCUGAUUUCCCCACCAUUUUAUUUUUGGCCCUGAUCUCAGAGGCUUAAAGCAUUAAAUCAUCACUAGACAAGGGUGAGCACAGGCUGUUAGAACAGAACAAGUUCAUGGUGCUAACAGACCCUCCCAGCAAAGAUUGUGAUCUGGCACUGUGAGAACAGCAUCUUAUUGUGUGUCUGCAGCCUGAGAAGACAGCACCCUGGCAUGGAAAAGUGUGGCCUGAGGCUCUGGGUUGUUGGGUUCGCUGUAGAGUUUAUUCUCUCAUGUAGUCCCCCAAUCAUCACACCCAUGCCGUACCCUGACUCAUUGGUUAUUGGGUGUAAUGUCUCUCUAUUCAGUAAUGGGGAUUCUUUUCUCUUUAAGUCAUUAGCAACUCAGUGAUAACUGCUACUUCUUGCAAAAAAGCGUUUGCAAGCUCCACUUCUGCCCAUUCAUGGGAAAACACACACCCGACUUCGGUUCAGUACCUAAGUGUUCCAGGCUCUACGCUACACACAGAAGAGGUGCUGUCUCAUCAGUACCGUACCACACUCCUCUGAGUCAGGAAGAAUUAGCCGCAUGUCUAGCCUUCCUAGAGAAAUUAGGAAAACUUCCCAAGAUAGUGCUACUAGCUCAUAUCUGUAGAACUUAUUGCAUGCUCAACUAGCCCUUUUCAACUCCCACAGCCACCCUAAGUGAGAGGUAAGGGUAGGUGUGCCCAUUUUACAGAUUACAUAACUGAGGUGCAGUUACUCAGGAAGUGAGGGAACCAGGAUUCAAGUCAGCCAGUCAGCACCAGAACCCACACACUGAAUCUAGUCCCGAGAUUGGGGUUGGAAUCCAGUCCUUUCUCCCAGUCUGCAGGCCUCCAGUACCAGGAGCUCAGUCGAACAGGUUUUACAAACUCCUUUCAGAGAUCUGGCAUACAAAUGAAUGAUGCAGGCUAAGGGUAUACAAACUUUCUUUUGUUCCUGAAACAAAGCAUUGUCUCAGUGUUUCUUUGCUUUUUUUUUUUUUUUAAUUAGGUAGAGAUGUAGGUGCUGGAAAUACUUUACUGUAUUCUUAGCUCUGUGAAUGCCAGAAAACAAGUAAAUGCAGAUAACAUAGAAGCAGAAUCUGAACUCAGGGAACAGCUUUCCUUCCAAACAGUUUGCCUUGCAUGCAUGUGGUGAACAGGGAACACUUUUACACUGCAGGUGGGAAUGUAAAUUAGUACAGUCACUAUGGAAAACAGUAUGGAGACUCCUUAAAGAAAUGAAAGUAGAACUACCAUUUGAUCCAGCAAUCAACUACUGGGUAUUUAUCCAAAGGAAAAGAAGUCAUUACAUAAAGAGGGCACAUGCACACACAUGUUAAUAGCAGCACAAUUCGCAAUUGCACAGAUAUGGAACCACGCUAAGUGCCCAUCAAUCAACGAGUGGAUUAAGAAAAUGUGGUAUAUGUACACCAUGGAAUACUAUUCAGCCAUAAAAAGCAACGAAAUAAUGUCUUUUAUAGCAACUUGGAUGAAGCUGGAGGCUGUUAUUGUAAGUGAAGUAACACAGGAAUGGAAAAUCAAAUAUAGUGUAUUCUCUUAUAAGUGGGAGCUAAGCUAUGAGGACACAAAGGCAUAAGAGUGAUAUAAUAGACUUUGAGGACUCAGGGGAGAAGUUUGGGAGGGGGUGAAGGAUAAAAGACUACCUACUGGGUGCAGUGUACACUGCUUCAGUGAUGGGUGUCCUAAAGUCUCAGAAAUCACUACUAAAGAACUUAUCCAUGUAACCAAAAACCACCUGUACCCCAAAAAACUACCGAAAUUAAAAAACAAAAAACCAUGAAAUGGAUGUCUCAUCACCAAAAAACAAACAAACAAAAAAAAAAACAAAAGAAGUUUGUCUCGGGAAACAGUUGGGGUUUUCACAAACUUGCUGAGCAUCACUUAAGGCCUAUGCUUCCUAAGGCUACAGGCAAGAAUGUUAGAGACUGUCUUUUAAGUUAUUUAGUUUUUGCAUCUUCCAUUAAAAAAAAAGGUAGGGUGAUAAAUCACAGAUAGAUAAAAAGCUUUUGCCAACAUGAGCUUCUCUCUGCAGCAACUGGCCUUCAGAAGGCAGACUGGGGCAGCCUGCAGAUCUGCCUGCAAUUCCUGGUCCUGACUGUUGUUCUGCAACUGGAAUUAAGGAACCAGACAACGUGCCCAAGAUUUAUGGAUUCCAUUGUUUAUGAUAUGUGUUCCUCACAUAUGUUCCCUCUGUCUCACCCGACAGGGAACACCACAUCACAAGGUCUGUGGGAGUUGGAGAAAACUCUCGCUGACUCCCUGAAUAUAGUCCCAGUGGGAACCACCUUGGGGAGAGGCUCUGUCCAGCUGAACCCUCCAGUGCACAGUAUGCUUGGCUGCAGAGGCUUGGAGUGAGAGAGGAGACCAGGGUCCAGCUUCUCGGACAGCACUCACUGGGGUAGGUUGUGUCUGGCACAUUUUCAGCAACUGCUUUCAAAGUAAUAAUAAUAGGAAUUAUAAUCUAAAAAGAAUGGCUUCCACAUGUCGCUCUGCUUGUUUAAAAUCCAGGUUCACAGCCCUACUUCUUGAAUUCCCAAUUAAGAAGCGUCUGAAGGAAUCCAGUGAUCUCUGUAUUUAACUAUCUUUCAGAAUAAUUUAUCAGCAACUAACUACGACAUUUGAAAAUCACUGAUCUAAAAAUGUCAACAUCCUGUUCACAGACAUUUCAAAGUUUCCUGAAAUAAUAGUUCAAGACUUUCUUUUAGAGUGACUCCCCUAUGAUACAAAGCAAAUGCACGUAUAUGAAAGUAUAUAAUGACCAGAAUAGUCUGGUAAUCCAGUGAGUAUCUAUGAUGUGCUAGGCACUGCACAGAAAAGUUUACAGGCAUUACUGCAUUUAAUCCUUUCUGCAGAUUUUAUGGGGAGAGGGUUAUGAAUGCACCCAUUUCACAAAUUAUAAAACCAUGACUCAGAAAACAAGAGCUGCCGGAGGUCACACAGCUAGUGAGGAACAGAGCUGUGAUUUGGGCCCAGGUUAAUUUUAUUUCCAUUUGAUUCCUUCUUUGAUGAAAACUGGGAGAAAUCAGUGUUUUGUUUUUCCUGAAAAGGAAAUUGAAAUAGGAGAGAGUUUGGGGAUCUGUAUUAGUUUUCUGUGGCUGCUGUACCAAUUUACUACAAGCUUGGUGGCUUAAAACAACAAAAAUGAUGUGUUUUCUCACAGUUCUAGAGGCAAGAAGUCUGGAAUAAGUAUCACUGGGCCAAAAUCAAGGUGUCAGAAGAACUUCACAUCCCCCAAAACCUCCAGGAGAGAAGCCAUUCCUUGCCACUUCCAACUUCUGAGCCUCCAGAUAUUCUUUGACUUGUAUCUGUGUCACGCCAAUCUCUGCCACUGUCUUCACAUGGCCUUCUCUUCUGUGUCUCUCCAAUUUGCCUUUGUAUUUCUCCUAUAAAGACACUAUCAUUGGAUGUAGGGCCUACCUGGAUGAUUGAGAAUGAUCUCCUGUCGAGAUCUGUAAUUAUAUCUAAAAAGGGCCUUUUUCCAAAUGUUACAUGGUGAACAUGUUUCGGGGGAACUAGCAUUCAACCUGCUACAGCGUCCUCUAGCUAGGAAGUGGUAGAAGCAGGACCUAAUGUAGAUCUAGCCACAAUCCCACAUGGAUUGCUUAGACUGCAUCAAUUGUGAAUGACAGACACCCAGUGCAACUUAAGCUUUCUGCAUUGCUGUUGAAUAGGGGGAGGAGGAAAUGGUGGAUACAGAGUCACUGUAGCUGAAGAUGCCAAAGGUAGACAUUUCUAGUUGCAGACAUCAUCUACAUUUUGUGGUCAGGGCUCAAGCCAUCUCUUGGGCAGGCUUUCUUCACCCAGUAGGUGAAAUGUCUUCUGUUAGCUCAACACCCACAGUCCUCUAGUGUGGCCAGUGGAAAGUGACUUCUCUUUCCAUUAACUCAAGAGAAAAAGCCCGAAAAGCUUUGGCCCUGCCAAAAUCACAUCACCCUGGUGAAAUCACAUGAUCAGCCCUAAACCAAUCACUCUAGCCAGGGAGAUCAUUUAUUCAAUAGCAAUAAUAAAUAUAUAUUGAGUACAUUCUAUGUGUCAGGAAUUCUUCAAGAUGUAUAAAAAUACCCCAGCAAACAGAAGACAAAUUCCUACCCUCAUGGAGCUUAUAUUCUAGAGGAAAAUACAGACAAUUAACAUAUAAACAAAUUUUAAAAACUGUCAUUCAAAUUCAGACAGAGAGUAGAGCUAUGUAAUAAAUUAAUUAGGGCAAUGUGCUUAAAAAUGGCCAGAGGUGGUGUGGACUCCUUUAGCCGGUAUGAUCAGUUAAGACCUCUCUGUAGAGGUGGUAGAUGAGGUGCAACUCAAGUCACGGGAGGCAACCGUUUAAAGAUUUGUGGAAGAUCAUUCUAAAUGGAAGGAAUAGCAGGUGCAAAGACAGUGGGGUGGGAACAACCUUAGAGGAACAGAAACAUGGACAGUACAGCUUGACUAUAGUCCAUGAGCAGGAGAGAGUAUGAGAUGGAGUACUUCAGUGGUGAAACUGGGAUCUCAAAACCAAAAUGUGAUUUCCAACCCAUCUGCUCUUUAACUCUUUUCUACACAACCUUGCUCAGGAGAGGUAUGUCUGUCCACCAAGCAUAGGUCUCCUGUGCAUUGUGUCACCCCUCUCACUGCAUGGCUAGAAGAUGUUCUUUGAGCAGCUGGAAGAUUGUAAAUAUGACACCAUCUAUUUGGUGGGUGAUUUUUGCUCCUUCUGGUAUAAGAGGAUAUAAGUGGGGAAAUAGAACAAGAGUUAACAAACUCUGUAAGGUCUCAUUGGAUCUUCACCCUAACUCAAACUUGGUCCAAACAAAACUCUUUGACAAUAUUUAGGUGUGAGUAGGGGAGUUGAUAAAUGAUGUUUUCUCUCUUCUCUUCUUUUUCACUUUUAUACGCCUCUGGGUUGAUGGUUUCUGGCCAAGGCCAGAGGUACUAAAAUACCACAAGAAAGGAGAACUUUGAAGUGAUCAUCUGUUCAGCCAAGAAGGAGGUGGUGCUGCCUGAAGGUUCACCAGGAAUGCGGUCUUCUGGAGCUUUAGACAGAGUUCCUAGGAGGCCCCCAGAGACAGACAGAUGCCUUGGAGUUGAUUUGGAGAAACAUCUGAACUUCUGGAUGGAGUUCUGAGCCGAGCCUGAAACCCUCUGGGAGCCUUCAUUUGCUCCCAGACAAUCCAUGGAAACACCUGUUCCAAGUCUGAGCUGACUGGACCACCGCCUUUGAUUUUGGAAAACUCAGAGACCAGAUCUUGAAUCGUCCUUUCAGAAUGUACUCUGGAAUUCCUUGUUCUUCAGUGCAAAGAUUUAGAUAAAGUUAUCUGACCAUGUGAAUGACAGAUCUGAGAAUGUGAUGACUUUAUUGAUAGGUCCUACUGGACAGUUCCUUGGCCCAGCAGCAUCAGCACCUCCUGGGAUCUUGCUAGAAAUACUAAAUCUCAGGCCCUACCCCAGACCUGCUAUUUUAGAAUCUGUAAUUUAACAAGAUCCCAGUUAAUUAGCAUGCACAUUCCAGUUUGAGAAAAGCGGCACUAAAAAGCUUUGUCAAAUAGGCAGUGUGCUCCCAUUUCUCGGUAUUGUGCCUGUGACAGGCAUCAAUAAUCAACCAGAGAAUCACUUCCUUCUGAGAGCAGAAUAUUCUCAAGUCAUGGUUUCAGGUCGCAGUGACCAAUCAAUGGGAGUUGGAUCAAAAUUAAACCUAUCUUCCAUACUGGUGUCAACACUUGAAGAAAGCUCUUUUAUUUCCACCCAUAUACACAUCAUACAUGCCUGAUAAAUGUUUGUGGAAUGAAUGUGUUUUCCCCUAGCCUUGUUUCCUGUGAUAUUCACACUAUUCCAGUCCAUACCCACAGAAAAUCAGAACUUCACUGGGCAUCUGGGAAGUUCAGCAGCUGUUCUAGGUGUUGGAUUUUGCUAUUGGCCAUGACCCAUUAGAAGGUUGAGGUGAGGUUGGAAAGAUGUUAGGGAUGGAAUGAAGACACUUGGGAACCCAUCUCGCUGUGGCACAUGGACCUCAAACCAUGCAAGUUUUCUUUUUUCUUUCUUUCUUUUUUUCUUUUUCUUGAGAUGGAGUCUUGCUCUGUCUCCCAGGCUGGAGUGCAAGGGCGCGAUCUCGGCUUACUGCACCCUCUGCCUCCCAGGUUCAAGCUACUCUCCUGCCUCAGCCUCCUGAGUAGCUGGGAUUACAGGGGCAUGCCACCAUGCCCAGCUAACUUUUGUAUUUUUAGUAGAGACGGGGUCUCACCAUGUCAGCCAGGCUUGUCUCAAACUCCUGACCUCAGGUGAUCCGCCCACCUCUGCCUCCCAAAGUACUGGGAUUACAGGCGUGAGUCACCAUGCUUGGCCGCAAGUUUUCUUCAGGACAUGGCCCCAUGUAGUCCAGCUCUACAAGGUGGCUGCUGUGUGAACUAGGCUACAUGCCGAAACGGGACUGUCGGGGGAAUCAGCAGGGGGGGCAGACCAACAGCCCUGUAAGACAUAGCAAUAAUGAUUAUAAAUAGCAUCCUUCUGACCGCCUUUUGAUGUACUGUCCAAGGCCAGGUGGAAAAUCUUUCCUCCCCUGCCUUUCCCCACUAAUCACCUUCCCCUCAUUUUUCAAUAAAGAUUCUGAGCCCAGUC
rnacentral:lncRNA from 1 species